rnacentral:rRNA from 1 species
AUGGCAGGGGCAGAGGAACUUGUUCUCGGCGGCGUUCCACGGCACGACGCAUCCAAGAUGCGUGCACACGGCGUUGAUCCCGUAGGUGGCGAGGGUCUUGUCGGACUCCACCACAAGGUAGGUACUACAUACCUUGAGCCCCUGGGCGAGCGUGCGGUCGUUGGGGCCGUGCGUCUUGAGCCAGUCCUCGACGAGGAUGUCGUUGCCGAGCUUGUCCUUGGCGGCGACCCCUCCGGCGUUGCUCCCGGAGCCGGCCGGGACGAGGAAGGAGCCGUAGGGGACGAGCAUGCCGAAGGUGGGGAGCGAGAUGGCGCCCAGCAGGAGCAGGUUCAUCAGCUCCCUCUUGCUCAUGUCCGGCACGCGGUCCGCGGAGAUGCUGCCGGCCAUGCAGGUGAUGUUCCUCGGGACGCGCUCCCGGCCGAAGCCCAGGCCCUUGACGGGCUUGCACAGCGAGCUUGCGCGGGUCCGGCAGAGCUGCGCACCAACAUGCUCUCAGCAAUUACAAGAGAUCAGACGGCGGCAGGAAGAAGGGAGGGAUGGUUACCUGGGUAG